GUGUGUGUGUGUGUGUGUGUAGGUGUGUAGGUGUGUCCUGUAGCUGGUGAUCAGGUGUCUUGAUAAGGGACAUUAAAGUUCAAAGUCUUUCUCUGGUACUUCACUCCGUCCUGUGUUGUGACGCAGAUGUGUCCUCCAGGUUAAACUGUUGCAGGUGUGGACUCUGCUAUGAGUCAGUGUGAGGACAGAGAGGAGGGAGCCCCUCCCUCUAAAACCACUCUGUGGGGGGACCAUGACAGCCAGACCAAAGCUCAGAGGAUGCAGCAGCAGAAACCUGGACCUGGACCCAGCUGUGUGUCCAUGAAGAGUGACCGGUCCAUGGGUCGUCCUAUUGACUUUAAAGAUGGACAAGGUGCUGUUGAUGGAAGUCUGCAAUAAAGACCUGUACCUGGACCUGGACCCAGCUGUGUGUCCAUGAAGAGUGACUGGUCUAUGGAUCGUCCUAUGAAGUUUAAAUAUGG